UCCGGAAUAGCUCAGCUGGUAGAGCAACAAGCUGUUAACUUGUGGGUCACAUGUUCGAAUCAUGUUUCCGGAG
rnacentral:tRNA from 1 species